UAGGAUCUAAAAAUUGGGAUCUUGGGA
rnacentral:piRNA from 1 species